rnacentral:sRNA from 1 species
GAUAAGUGAUUAAUUAGUAGAACUCGUUCUGUAAUUUUUUUACCGUCCCGUGAUUUUUUUUAAAAAUAGUAAU